rnacentral:rRNA from 1 species
UGAGGAAUAUUGGACAAUGGGUGGAAGCCUGAUCCAGCCAUCCCGCGUGUAGGAAGACGGCCCUAUGGGUUGUAAACUACUUUUAUCUGGGGAUAAACCUACUUACGUGUAAGUAGCUGAAGGUACCAGAUGAAUAAGCACCGGCUAACUCUGCCAGCAGCGCGGUAAUACGGAGGGUGCAAGCGUUAUCCGGAUUUAUUGGGUUUAAAGGGUCCGUAGGCGGGCUUAUAAGUCAGUGGUGAAAUCCGACAGCUUAACUGUCGAACUGCCAUUGAUACUGUGAGCCUUGAGUAAGGUUGAAGUGGCUGGAAUAAGUAGUGUAGCGGUGAAAUGCAUAGAUAUUUACUUUUAGAACACCAAUUGCGAAGGCAGGUCACUAAGUCUUAACUG